rnacentral:rRNA from 1 species
GACGAACGCUGGCGGCGUGCUUAACACAUGCAAGUCGAACGGAAAGGCCCUGCUUUUGUGGGGUGCUCGAGUGGCGAACGGGUGAGUAACACGUGAGUAACCUGCCCUUGACUUUGGGAUAACUUCAGGAAACUGGGGCUAAUACCGGAUAGGAGCUCCUGCUGCAUGGUGGGGGUUGGAAAGUUUCGGCGGUUGGGGAUGGACUCGCGGCUUAUCAGCUUGUUGGUGGGGUAGUGGCUUACCAAGGCUUUGACGGGUAGCCGGCCUGAGCGGGCGGCCGGCCACAUUGGGACUGGGAUACGGCCCAGACUCCUACGGGACGCAGCAGUGGGGAAUAUUGCACAAUGGGCGGAAGCCUGAUGCAGCAACGCCGCGUGCGGGAUGACGGCCUUCGGGUUGUAAACCGCUUUCGCCUGUGACGAAGCGUGAGUGACGGUAAUGGGUAAAGAAGCACCGGCUAACUACGUG